rnacentral:tmRNA from 2 species
UUUGGAUUCGACAGGGAUAGGUCGAGCUCAAGUUGCGAGUCGAGGGGAUCGUCCUCGUAAAAACGUCAAAGCCAAUAAUAACUGGCAAAUCUAACGAUAACCUCGCUUUAGCUGCCUAAUUAAGGCCUAAUGCGGAUCCUCCCUCCAUCGCCCAUGUGGUAGGGUAAGGGUCUCACUUUCAGUGGGCUACGCCGGACGUCCUCCGCCUGGGGACCAUGGAAGAGACCAAUCAGGCUAGCGCUUCGGAAGCCCGUCGAUAGGCUGAAGAAGACGCGAAACGCCAAUAUAUCGACUACACUCGUAGAUGCUUGAGUGCCGAUAUUCUUGGACGUGGGUUCGAUUA